rnacentral:rRNA from 1 species
AGUGAACGCUGGCGGUAGGCCUAACACAUGCAAGUCGAACGGCAGCACAGUAAGAGCUUGCUCUUACGGGUGGCGAGUGGCGGACGGGUGAGGAAUACAUCGGAAUCUACUUUUUCGUGGGGGAUAACGUAGGGAAACUUACGCUAAUACCGCAUACGACCUACGGGUGAAAGUAGGGGAUCUUCGGACCUUGCGCGAUUGAAUGAGCCGAUGUCGGAUUAGCUAGUUGGCGGGGUAAAGGCCCACCAAGGCGACGAUCCGUAGCUGGUCUGAGAGGAUGAUCAGCCACACUGGAACUGAGACACGGUCCAGUCUCCUACGGGAGGCAGCAGUGGGGAAUAUUGGACAAUGGGCGCAAGCCUGAUCCAGCCAUACCGCGUGGGUGAAGAAGGCCUUCGGGUUGUAAAGCCCUUUUGUUGGGAAAGAAAAGCAGCAGGUUAAUACCCCGCUGUUCUGACGGUACCCAAAGAAUAAGCACCGGCUAACUUCGUG